GGGUGCAUAAUCAUUAGUCUUUUAAUUGAGGACUGGAAUGAAAGGGUAAACUGGAAAAGAUUUUUUAAGAGUAAAAGAGAUGAAGUUGACUUUUUGGUAAGAAGGCUAAAAUAUUUCUUAAAGACGAGAAGACCCUAUAAAACUUUAUAUUAACUUUUCUUUAGCUAAGGAAAUAAGUAUUUUACUGGGGCGGUGGAAAAAAUAAAACUUUUUCUAAUUUUAAAGAGUUUAAAUCUUAAUAUCUAAAAAUUUUAAAAGAAGAAUAAGUUACUUUAGGGAUAACAGCUUAAUUUAUUUAGAAAGUUCUAAUUGACAAAUAAGUUUGUGACCUCGAUGUUGAAUUAAAAGUCCUUUUUAGUGCAAAAGCUUAAAAGGAGUCGUCGCCU
rnacentral:rRNA from 1 species